UACGAAGGGGGCUAGCGUUGUUCGGAAUUACUGGGCGUAAAGCGCACGUAGGCGGACUAUUAAGUCAGGGGUGAAAUCCCGGGGCUCAACCCCGGAACUGCCUUUGAUACUGGUAGUCUCGAGUCCGGAAGAGGUGAGUGGAAUUCCGAGUGUAGAGGUGAAAUUCGUAGAUAUUCGGAGGAACACCAGUGGCGAAGGCGGCUCACUGGUCCGGUACUGACGCUGAGGUGCGAAAGCUGGGGGAGCAAACCGG
rnacentral:rRNA from 1 species